rnacentral:rRNA from 1 species
CCUACGGGUGGCAGCAGUGAGGAAUAUUGGUCAAUGGGCGUAAGCCUGAACCAGCCAAGUCGCGUGAGGGAUGAAGGUUCUAUGGAUCGUAAACCGCUUUUAUAAGGGAAUAAACCGUGGUACGUGUACUGGGUUGUAUGUACCUUAUGAAUAAGGAUCGGCUAACUCCGUGCCAGCAGCCGCGGUAAUACGGAGGAUCCGAGCGUUAUCCGGAUUUAUUGGGUUUAAAGGGUGCGUAGGCGGCCUUUUAAGUUAGCGGUGAAAUUCUGUGGCUCAACCCUGGAAUUGCCGUUGAAACUGGGAGGCUUGAGAAUGUUUGCGGCAGGCGGAAUGCGUGGUGUAGCGGUGAAAUGCUUAGAGAUCACGCAGAACACCGAUUGCGAAGGCAGCUUGCCAAGCUAUGACUGACGCUGAUGCACGAAAGCGUGGGGAUCAAACAGGAUUAGAUACCCGAGUAGUC